UACAACAUGAAAAACUUCCCUGGGUUAUCAGCUGCUUCUUACUUCCAGGUGACCCACCACCCUAGGAGGAGAGGUGGCUCAGAACUCACUCUCCAGCUCCCUUGGGGUUCCUCUUCUGCAUGCUCUGUCUCACAGAGAAAGUCUGGAAAGCAGAAGAAAAGUCAUUUGAACAGGUUUGAUUUGAGCAAUCCUGAAAACAUAUGAUCCCAGCAUUUCCUGAUCAGAAUUUUCACAAAAGCAAAUCUCUGUGAGAGCUGUAAAUUGACCCCAUGUCCAAAGUGGGACCUCUUUUAGAAAGGUCAAGAUUCCUCCUCAGACCUCCAGAAACGACCUAUCAUCAGACAUGGACUGGUGGAACAAACGACUGGGCAAACCCAGGGAUUGGCAGUCAUCAUUUAGGGAAGCAGUUCACUCUGGAAAUACACAUUUAAGUGUGCAACCAGUUUGAAAAGAGUCUUUUCAAAUCUCAAGGUUGGAAUUCCACAAGAAAUGUGGAAUGCUAGCUUUGCUGUAAGUCCAUUAAGGAGCUCAAUAAUGCGUAGGCUGGAGGUGGUUAAGAGUGGGAAAGUAGCCUUCAUUCAAAUAUCUUCUGAGCAUGCAACUUAUAAAUUCUCUUAAUAUUAUCAACAGUAUUUCUGAGACUAAAAUGCUGAGAGGGUGAAUUCCCCUGAAAAAGCCUCAACUGGAAACAGCAGUGCUCCUGGCACAAUUCUCUGGCCUUGAAGGGCAGCAGCAGUGGAAGGCUAUUAUCCUCUAUACUGCUUUCAGAAUGUUUAAGAGCAACAUUUUGGACAGCAAAGGGCUGCCAAGAUUUGGGAUUCCUGAGCUCUUCUCCAGAUUCUAGAGAUUUUUGCCCAGUCUCAUCCCAGCCUUCUUCUACCCAUCCAUGUCUUCUCCAUCUCCUCUUUCUUUUUUCAGAUCCCAUUUUUCCAUUCAACAUCCCUCUGCUCCUGACUCAUGAGUUGUCAUUCCCUCAAUUUCAUCCUCUCUCCUGUCCUCUUCUGUUCAGUCCCCUGACUCCUGCUUUCCCUGCUGAACUCCUGUACUCUCUCCUUUCCUGGUGCUGUUCACUCAAGUUCAAAGCACAGACAGUGGUGCUGGCUUAUGUAUGGCUUGAUGAGAGUGCUGGAGUAGCUGUAGUGAAAACAGGAUGUGCAGUAAGCAUCCUGCAGAGGUAAAACACAGAGCAGGUGGAAUAGCAUCACAGGGAAACAACAGAAAGGGACCUUUCUUUGCUUUUCUUCAGUGUAUUUCAAGCUUCAGCAAGAAAGCUUUCAAAGGAGAUGGGUGUCAGCACUUUGUAAUGGUCAAAACAAGAGACUGAUUGCUUAAUACUCUGCCCAGACAUUUUCCAAGGAAACAGCCUAAAAAUUCAGCCUGGUGCAAUUAAUCCCAGUUGGCCAAUUUCUAGAAAAAUGAAAAGCUCCAUAAUGACAGUUAAAGGCAGCACUGAUUUUAGAUGCUUCUACCUGUGCUGUCCCUAGAAAAGUUUAGUUUUGCUUUCAUUGUCUUUUCAAAAUAAACUGUAUUUCUAACCAGUAAUAUUUCAUUUUCUCAACCAAAAGAAAUUGCUGGUGUUUCUAAAGCUGUUCUCCUGUGGUCUGACUUGCAGUUUGGCAGUGCACACAGGCCCAAACAGCAGGGGGACAUUGUGUGUUCAACAUUUUAUAGGUGCUUUGCUGCAAAUCAGUCACAGCCCUAAAAGCCUAGAAAUAUCAAGUCAAUAAAACCAGUCAGAGUGAUCCUCUUUUGUCAAUAAUGGGCACUAAAUAGUGGCCAGCUGAAUCAUUUCCUUGAGGGCACACUAAAAGAAGUCUCUCGGAGUCUGUAUCUCUCAAGGCCUUACCCAAAAUAUCCUUCCAUUUCUAUCUGUCUAAGAAUGGGGGAAGAUAACUGGCUUUGCUGGGUUAUUAUGUAUCAGAGAAAAAGAAUCUGAAAUGUGGUACCUUUCAGGGCUUUCUUCCUUUCCCAUUUCCCAUGCUGUAAAUACGAAGUCUCUUAG